rnacentral:rRNA from 1 species
UACGUAGGGGGCAAGCGUUGUCCGGAAUCAUUGGGCGUAAAGCGCGCGUAGGCGGCCCGGUCAGUCCGUUGUGAAAGUCAAAGGCUCAACCUUUGAAUGCCGACGGAUACUGCCGGGCUAGAGUCCGGAAGAGGCGAGUGGAAUUCCUGGUGUAGCGGUGAAAUGCGCAGAUAUCGGGAAGAACACCCGUGGCGAAGGCGGCUCUCUGGGACGGUACUGACGCUGAGACGCGAAAGCGUGGGGAGCAAACAGG